rnacentral:rRNA from 1 species
UGAACGCUGGCGGCGUGCCUACUACAUGCAAGUCGAGCGAACAGACGAGGAGCUUGCUCCUCUGACGUUAGCGGCGGACGGGUGAGUAACACGUGGAUAACCUACCUAUAAGACUGGGAUAACUUCGGGAAACCGGAGCUAAUACCGGAUAAUAUAUUGAACCGCAUGGUUCAAUAGUGAAAGACGGUUUUGCUGUCACUUAUAGAUGGAUCCGCGCCGCAUUAGCUAGUUGGUAAGGUAACGGCUUACCAAGGCAACGAUGCGUAGCCGACCUGAGAGGGUGAUCGGCCACACUGGAACUGAGACACGGUCCAGACUCCUACAGGAGGCAGCAGUAGGGAAUCUUCCGCAAUGGGCGAAAGCCUGACGGAGCAACGCCGCGUGAGUGAUGAAGGUCUUCGGAUCGUAAAACUCUGUUAUUAGGGAAGAACAAAUGUGUAAGUAACUAUGCACGUCUUGACGGUACCUAAUCAGAAAGCCACGGCUAACUACGUG